rnacentral:rRNA from 1 species
GGGUUGUGAGGUUAAGCGACUAAGCGUACACGGUGGAUGCCCUGGCAGUCAGAGGCGAUGAAGGACGUGCUAAUCUGCGAUAAGCGUCGGUAAGGUGAUAUGAACCGUUAUAACCGGCGAUUUCCGAAUGGGGAAACCCAGUGUGUUUCGACACACUAUCAUUAACUGAAUCCAUAGGUUAAUGAGGCGAACCGGGGGAACUGAAACAUCUAAGUACCCCGAGGAAAAGAAAUCAACCGAGAUUCCCCCAGUAGCGGCGAGCGAACGGGGAGCAGCCCAGAGCCUGAAUCAGUGUGUGUGUUAGUGGAAGCGUCUGGAAAGGCGCGCGAUACAGGGUGACAGCCCCGUACACAAAAAUGCACAUGCUGUGAGCUCGAUGAGUAGGGCGGGACACGUGGUAUCCUGUCUGAAUAUGGGGGGACCAUCCUCCAAGGCUAAAUACUCCUGACUGACCGAUAGUGAACCAGUACCGUGAGGGAAAGGCGAAAAGAACCCCGGCGAGGGGAGUGAAAAAGAACCUGAAACCGUGUACGUACAAGCAGUGGGAGCACGCUUAGGCGUGUGACUGCGUACCUUUUGUAUAAUGGGUCAGCGACUUAUAUUCUGUAGCAAGGUUAACCGAAUAGGGGAGCCGAAGGGAAACCGAGUCUUAACUGGGCGUUAAGUUGCAGGGUAUAGACCCGAAACCCGGUGAUCUAGCCAUGGGCAGGUUGAAGGUUGGGUAACACUAACUGGAGGACCGAACCGACUAAUGUUGAAAAAUUAGCGGAUGACUUGUGGCUGGGGGUGAAAGGCCAAUCAAACCGGGAGAUAGCUGGUUCUCCCCGAAAGCUAUUUAGGUAGCGCCUCGUGAAUUCAUCUCCGGGGGUAGAGCACUGUUUCGGCAAGGGGGUCAUCCCGACUUACCAACCCGAUGCAAACUGCGAAUACCGGAGAAUGUUAUCACGGGAGACACACGGCGGGUGCUAACGUCCGUCGUGAAGAGGGAAACAACCCAGACCGCCAGCUAAGGUCCCAAAGUCAUGGUUAAGUGGGAAACGAUGUGGGAAGGCCCAGACAGCCAGGAUGUUGGCUUAGAAGCAGCCAUCAUUUAAAGAAAGCGUAAUAGCUCACUGGUCGAGUCGGCCUGCGCGGAAGAUGUAACGGGGCUAAACCAUGCACCGAAGCUGCGGCAGCGACGCUUAUGCGUUGUUGGGUAGGGGAGCGUUCUGUAAGCCUGUGAAGGUGUGCUGUGAGGCAUGCUGGAGGUAUCAGAAGUGCGAAUGCUGACAUAAGUAACGAUAAAGCGGGUGAAAAGCCCGCUCGCCGGAAGACCAAGGGUUCCUGUCCAACGUUAAUCGGGGCAGGGUGAGUCGACCCCUAAGGCGAGGCCGAAAGGCGUAGUCGAUGGGAAACAGGUUAAUAUUCCUGUACUUGGUGUUACUGCGAAGGGGGGACGGAGAAGGCUAUGUUGGCCGGGCGACGGUUGUCCCGGUUUAAGCGUGUAGGCUGGUUUUCCAGGCAAAUCCGGAAAAUCAAGGCUGAGGCGUGAUGACGAGGCACUACGGUGCUGAAGCAACAAAUGCCCUGCUUCCAGGAAAAGCCUCUAAGCAUCAGGUAACAUCAAAUCGUACCCCAAACCGACACAGGUGGUCAGGUAGAGAAUACCAAGGCGCUUGAGAGAACUCGGGUGAAGGAACUAGGCAAAAUGGUGCCGUAACUUCGGGAGAAGGCACGCUGAUAUGUAGGUGAAGUCCCUUGCGGAUGGAGCUGAAAUCAGUCGAAGAUACCAGCUGGCUGCAACUGUUUAUUAAAAACACAGCACUGUGCAAACACGAAAGUGGACGUAUACGGUGUGACGCCUGCCCGGUGCCGGAAGGUUAAUUGAUGGGGUUAGCGGUAACGCGAAGCUCUUGAUCGAAGCCCCGGUAAACGGCGGCCGUAACUAUAACGGUCCUAAGGUAGCGAAAUUCCUUGUCGGGUAAGUUCCGACCUGCACGAAUGGCGUAAUGAUGGCCAGGCUGUCUCCACCCGAGACUCAGUGAAAUUGAACUCGCUGUGAAGAUGCAGUGUACCCGCGGCAAGACGGAAAGACCCCGUGAACCUUUACUAUAGCUUGACACUGAACAUUGAGCCUUGAUGUGUAGGAUAGGUGGGAGGCUUUGAAGUGUGGACGCCAGUCUGCAUGGAGCCGACCUUGAAAUACCACCCUUUAAUGUUUGAUGUUCUAACGUUGACCCGUAAUCCGGGUUGCGGACAGUGUCUGGUGGGUAGUUUGACUGGGGCGGUCUCCUCCUAAAGAGUAACGGAGGAGCACGAAGGUUGGCUAAUCCUGGUCGGACAUCAGGAGGUUAGUGCAAUGGCAUAAGCCAGCUUGACUGCGAGCGUGACGGCGCGAGCAGGUGCGAAAGCAGGUCAUAGUGAUCCGGUGGUUCUGAAUGGAAGGGCCAUCGCUCAACGGAUAAAAGGUACUCCGGGGAUAACAGGCUGAUACCGCCCAAGAGUUCAUAUCGACGGCGGUGUUUGGCACCUCGAUGUCGGCUCAUCACAUCCUGGGGCUGAAGUAGGUCCCAAGGGUAUGGCUGUUCGCCAUUUAAAGUGGUACGCGAGCUGGGUUUAGAACGUCGUGAGACAGUUCGGUCCCUAUCUGCCGUGGGCGCUGGAGAACUGAGGGGGGCUGCUCCUAGUACGAGAGGACCGGAGUGGACGCAUCACUGGUGUUCGGGUUGUCAUGCCAAUGGCACUGCCCGGUAGCUAAAUGCGGAAGAGAUAAGUGCUGAAAGCAUCUAAGCACGAAACUUGCCCCGAGAUGAGUUCUCCCUGACCCUUUAAGGGUCCUGAAGGAACGUUGAAGACGACGACGUUGAUAGGCCGGGUGUGUAAGCGCAGCGAUGCGUUGAGCUAACCGGUACUAAUGAACCGUGAGGCUUAACCUUACAACGCCGAAGCUGUU